rnacentral:rRNA from 1 species
GAUGAACGCUGGCGGCGUGCUUAAUACAUGCAAGUCGAACGAAGACAGUAGCAAUAUUGUCUGAGUGGCGAACGGGUGAGUAACGCGUUGGUGACCUGCCCCGAAGAGAGGGAUAACAGUCCGAAAGGAUUGCUAAUACCCCAUGUGGUUAUUCGGAUUAGAUGCCUUAUAACUAAACGGAUUUAUUCGCUUCGGGAGUGACCUGCGUCCCAUCAGCUAGUUGGUAGGGUAACGGCCUACCAAGGCUAUGACGGGUAGGGGACCUGAGAGGGUGGCCCCCAACAAUGGAACUGAAACACGGUCCAUACACCUACGGGUGGCAGCAGUAGGGAAUAUUGGUUAAUCUGCGAAAGCGGGAACCAGCAACUCCGCGUGCACGAUGAAGGCCUUCGGGUUGUAAAGUGCUUUUUGAAAGGAUGAGGAAGGACAGUACUUUCAGAAUAAGCUUCGGCUAACUACGUGCCAGCAGCCGCCGUAACAC